rnacentral:rRNA from 1 species
AUUGAACGCUGGCGGCAGGCCUAACACAUGCAAGUCGAACGGUAGCACAGAGGAGCUUGCUCCUUGGGUGACGAGUGGCGGACGGGUGAGUAAUGUCUGGGAAACUGCCCGAUGGAGGGGGAUAACUACUGGAAACGGUAGCUAAUACCGCAUAACGUCGCAAGACCAAAGAGGGGGACCUUCGGGCCUCUUGCCAUCGGAUGUGCCCAGAUGGGAUUAGCUAGUAGGUGGGGUAACGGCUCACCUAGGCGACGAUCCCUAGCUGGUCUGAGAGGAUGACCAGCCACACUGGAACUGAGACACGGUCCAGACUCCUACGGGAGGCAGCAGUGGGGAAUAUUGCACAAUGGGCGCAAGCCUGAUGCAGCCAUGCCGCGUGUAUGAAGAAGGCCUUCGGGUUGUAAAGUACUUUCAGCGAGGAGGAAGGCGUUGUGGUUAAUAACCGCAACGAUUGACGUUACUCGCAGAAGAAGCACCGGCUAACUCCGUGCCAGCAGCCGCGGUAA